rfam:Brachypodium distachyon strain Bd21 chromosome 2, whole genome shotgun sequence.
CGGAUACUUCCUCCGUCCAACAAAUGAUGUCUCAACUUUAACUAAAUUUGAAUGCUUAUAUACAUUAAGUCAUGUCUAGACACACCUAAAUUUUGACAAACUUAAGACAUCUUUUGUUGGACGGAGGGGGUACAUA